rnacentral:rRNA from 1 species
UGCAAGUCGAACGAUGAAGCCCAGCUUGCUGGGUGGAUUAGUGGCGAACGGGUGAGUAACACGUGAGUAACCUGCCCUUAACUCUGGGAUAAGCCUGGGAAACUGGGUCUAAUACCGGAUAGGAGCGCCUACCGCAUGGUGGGUGUUGGAAAGAUUUAUCGGUUUUGGAUGGACUCGCGGCCUAUCAGCUUGUUGGUGAGGUAAUGGCUCACCAAGGCGACGACGGGUAGCCGGCCUGAGAGGGUGACCGGCCACACUGGGACUGAGACACGGCCCAGACUCCUACGGGAGGCAGCAGUGGGGAAUAUUGCACAAUGGGCGCAAGCCUGAUGCAGCGACGCCGCGUGAGGGAUGACGGCCUUCGGGUUGUAAACCUCUUUCAGUAGGGAAGAAGCGAAAGUGACGGUACCUGCAGAAGAAGCACCGGCUAACUACGUGCCAGCAGCCGCGGUAAUACGUAGGGUGCGAGCGUUAUCCGGAAUUAUUGGGCGUAAAGAGCUCGUAGGCGGUUUGUCGCGUCUGUCGUGAAAGUCCGGGGCUUAACCCCGGAUCUGCGGUGGGUACGGGCAGACUAGAGUGCAGUAGGGGAGACUGGAAUUCCUGGUGUAGCGGUGGAAUGCGCAGAUAUCAGGAGGAACACCGAUGGCGAAGGCAGGUCUCUGGGCUGUAACUGACGCUGAGGAGCGAAAGCAUGGGGAGCGAACAGGAUUAGAUACCCUGGUAGUCCAUGCCGUAAACGUUGGGCACUAGGUGUGGGGACCAUUCCACGGUUUCCGCGCCGCAGCUAACGCAUUAAGUGCCUCGCCUGGGGAGUACGGCCGCAAGGCUAAAACUCAAAGGAAUUGACGGGGGCCCGCACAAGCGGCGGAGCAUGCGGAUUAAUUCGAUGCAACGCGAAGAACCUUACCAAGGCUUGACAUGUUCUCGAUCGCCGUAGAGAUACGGUUUCCCCUUUGGGGCCGGGUUCACAGGUGGUGCAUGGUUGUCGUCAGCUCGUGUCGUGAGAUGUUGGGUUAAGUCCCGCAACGAGCGCAACCCUCGUUCCAUGUUGCCAGCACGUACUGGUGGGGACUCAUGGGAGACUGCCGGGGUCAACUCGCAGGAAGGUCAGGACGAAGUCAAAUCACCAUGCCCCUUAAGUCCUGGGGCUUCCCGCAUGCUACAAUGGCCGGGACAAUGGGGUUGCGAUAAGGAGG